CAUGCACCUCGUUAGGUGAGGCGUCUGCAUGGAUACAGGCCACUGACCUCGAACGUCGAGAGACGCCCCGGGUCAGGACAGCUCUUCCCGGACCCAAGGGUCGAGCCCAAGUGGCUUCUGGGCGAUGGUCCAGAUACGCCGUGCAGUGCCGAAGCUCCGACGAGAGAGGUGUAGG
rnacentral:sRNA from 2 species